AUCCCUUCUCAGCCUUUUGGCUAAGACCAAGUGUAGUAUCUGUUCUUAUCAGUUUAAAGGUUUGGUCCUCUGGUGGCUGUACCAGGUGGUGAAACCUUUGAAAAAUGGGGCUUAGUGGGACUUCUU
ensembl:snRNA U2 U2 spliceosomal RNA